rnacentral:siRNA from 1 species
AGUCCCACUUUAAAAACACCUCU